rnacentral:lncRNA from 1 species
GGGAGAAUUGAGGUGGUCCUUCUUUGUCGUAAUUAAGUACACACAGCACACACACACACACACAUGAAUGACAUGGUAAGCGUGACACUUUGUUCAUUCUUAAUUAAUAUUCUAUGAGAUAAUAAUAACUCAUUAUUAUAAUUAUUAUUCAAGUAUGCAACCCUGAACAGUGAACCCUUCUUCAAGUACAGGCAGCAGUAGAAGCUUUUGCAGUGGCCGUGCACGGUGGUGAUACACGGUGGUCUUCUUUGUUGGUGAAGGCAAUCUUCCACUUUUCUUUUCUCUUGUCUUGUUUUAUUUGUUGCUCCCUGCACUCCAAACUGCAAAAUGCUGUAUCUCC